UGUAGAGGAAGUGCUCCUUGUGCUCCAGGAAUGGUGGAGGGCAGCAUUGUGUCGAGGACAAUAAGCAGCAUUAGCCACACACUUGAGAGCUGCUCCUGCAAGCGCCAUGACCCGACUGCUGAUGGUGAGCCUUCCCUUUCAUCCUUAGGAUUAUGACAAGUUAUUAAUUGCCACCAUUAGCUGCAGCAGCCUGCCUGAGAUCUCUGCUGCUCUCUGGAGACCCACAAAUCCUCCCCAAGCGCUCUUUACCAGCCUUGCAGAUAAUGUACUUACACAUCUCAGAGCUUGCUAAAUAGACUGAGCAGGCCACAGAGUUCACCCUUAGCACGGCUGUUUCAGAAUGCCUUGCACAGACGAAAC